GCUAAAGGAACGACUAAGGAUAAUGCACUGUUUAUCAUUGUGUUUUGUUGUUAUAGCUACUAGAUAUUGGUUCAGGAAUUUGGUGUUCUUAGAUAGUAUUAUGGUGUGUAUCAUCCUUUAUUUUGAAAUGAAUUUGGUCUAAUGUAAUUAUUCUUGACUUAUUUUUAGUGUAAUGUAGUUCUUUAUCUUUACAUUGUAUUUGGAAUUGGUCUUG
rnacentral:lncRNA from 1 species